rnacentral:lncRNA from 1 species
CUCUCUCCCUCUCUUUGAAGACCCGAUUUUAACCCCUAUCCGACCCGUUUCUCUGCAACAUCACCCGGUCUCCGUUACAUGAUGCCCUAGUUCUUGGGGGCAUCAUCAUCUGUACAGUUCCUUUUGAUUUCAACAUUUUGGGACCAUUCCAUUUUGGGGCCCAUUUCGUUGAUUCUUCAAUAUCAGAAACAAUAGCUGGGCGCCUCUACUACUGAAAGUCUUUGAAAUUUUCCGGACCCUAAUUCGUUAUGCCCAAUUGUUAAAGCUCCGAUUUUUUGGUAAAAGAGUUGAUUGGGAUGAAACGGGUUCAAAUGAAGCAAAGUGGGUAUUGAAUAUUCAUAUAGUUGACCCGAAUUAGCUUUAAAUGGAUCCCUCUUUGUUGAUUUUAACGUUGGGUUUCUGUCUUUGUUUCCUUAUUCUUGCCGUACAAUCAAGUCCUCCGCCUCCUCCUCCACCGUCUCACCAAUCUCCACCGCCGCCGCCGCCUUCUCCUUUAUCACCACGGCCUCCUCCACCACCCCACCAAAGUCGCCGUCCUCCACCACCUCCAAAAAAGACUACCUCCGACAGUAAAAACUCUAACCACGGUAAAAACCACCACCAUAAAUCUAACGGGAAAUUGCCUCCACCUAUAGGGCAAAAAAAGUUAAAUUUGGGGAAGAAAUUGGGGUUAAUGUUUGCGGGUGUUGCUGUGAUAUUGCAAGUGUGUGUGCUGGCGUUCUUGAUAAUCAAGAGAAGGCAGUUGUUAAAGGCUCAUAGUAGUAGAUUUUGAAGGGAUAUUUGUAUAUGAUGUGUAUAUCAGCUCCCAUUCUCUUUUAGUAUAUGAUUCUCUUUUGGCGGCGGAGCAUGUUAAUUGCAGUUAGCCUUAUUGAUUCCGAUUUUUAACAUGGCAUUAAACGGAGUAAAAGGAUUAAGGAUUCAGCUGAAAUGUUGGUUUCUGCAUUUGCAUUGGUCUGCUC